rnacentral:tRNA from 1 species
GGAGAUGUAUCGAAGUGGUCAUAACGGGAACGACUCGAAAUCGUUUGAACGGUAACACGUUCCGUGGGUUCGAAUCCCACCAUCUCCGCCA